rnacentral:rRNA from 1 species
CCUACGGUGUGCAGCAGUGAGGAAUAUUGGUCAAUGGUCGGGAGACUGAACCAGCCAAGCCGCGUGAGGGCUGAAGGUACAGAGUAUCGUAAACCUCUUUUGUCAGGGAACACAGGCGGGGACGUGUCCCCGGAUGAGUGUACCUGAAGAAAAAGCAUCGGCUACCUCCGUGCCAGCAGCCUCGGUAAUACGGAGGAUGCGAGCGUUAUCCGGAUUUAUUGGGUUUAAGGGGUGAGUAGGCGGUCUGUUCAGUCAGCGGUCAAAGCCCGGGGCCCAACCCCGGCCCGCCGUUGAAACUGGCAGUCUCGAGUUGGAGAGAAGUAUGCGGAAUGCGCGGUGUAGCGGUGAAAUGCAUAGAUAUCGCGCAGAACUCCGAUUGCGAAGGCAGCAUGCCGGCUCCACACUGACGCUGAGGCACGAAAGCGUGGGUAUCGAACAGGAUUAGAUACCCCAGUAGUC